rnacentral:rRNA from 1 species
UACGUAGGGCGCAAGCGUUGUCCGGAAUUAUUGGGCGUAAAGAGCUCGUAGGCGGCCUGUUACGUCUGCUGUGAAAUCCCGGGGCUUAACCCCGGGCGUGCAGUGGAUACGGGCAGGCUGGAGGCAGGCAGGGGAGAACGGAAUUCCCGGUGUAGCGGUGAAAUGCGCAGAUAUCGGGAGGAACACCGGUGGCGAAGGCGGUUCUCUGGGCCUGUACUGACGCUGAGGAGCGAAAGCGCGGGGAGCAAACAGG